GAUGAACGCUGGCGGCGUGCCUAAUACAUGCAAGUCGAGCGAACAGACGAGGAGCUUGCUCCUCUGACGUUAGCGGCGGACGGGUGAGUAACACGUGGAUAACCUACCUAUAAGACUGGGAUAACUUCGGGAAACCGGGGCUAAUACCGGAUAACAUGUUGAACCGCAUGGUUCAACAGUGAAAGACGGUCUUGCUGUCACUUAUAGAUGGAUCCGCGCCGCAUUAGCUAGUGGGUAAGGUAACGGCUUACCAAGGCAACGAUGCGUAGCCGACCUGAGAGGGUGAACGGCCACACGGGAACUGAGACACGGUCCAGACUCCUACGGGAGGCAGCAGUAGGGAAUCUUCCGCAAUGGGCGAAAGCCUAACGGAGCAACGCCGCGUGAGUGAAGAAGGUCUUCGGAUCGUAAAACUCUGUUAUUAGGGGAGAACAAAUGUGUAAGUAACUAUGCACGUCUUGACGGUACCUAAUCAGAAAGCCACGGCUAACUACGUG
rnacentral:rRNA from 1 species